CGGACGGGUGAGUAAUGCUUGGGAAUCUAGCUUAUGGAGGGGGAUAACUACGGGAAACUGUAGCUAAUACCGCGUAAUAUCGAAAGAUUAAAGUGUGGGACCUUCGGGCCACAUGCCAUAAGAUGAGCCCAAGUGGGAUUAGGUAGUUGGUGAGGUAAAGGCUCACCAGGCCGACGAUCCCUAGCUGGUCUGAGAGGAUGACCAGCCACACUGGGACUGAGACACGGCCCAG
rnacentral:rRNA from 1 species